CGCCCCGCCCCGGCCGGCGGGAGCGGGGCCGGGAAUUGUCGGGGCUCGGGAGACCGCCCGGUGCAAACCCUGCCAGGGCACGGAAACCUGCUCGGGGAUUUGGACUUCGUGGCCGCUGCGCACCACUGAAAAGUCUGGCACCGUCCUCAUGGUGGAAAUUCCAUUACUUCUCUUUUCCUUCAUAUGCACCUCAGAAAGCCAGAAGAGAGCAGCACAGAGACAACAGAUGAAACAACUGCUUCUCCAGAAAACGUGAAAAACAUCAAUCCUGCUCUGGGAAAGACUGUGAACACCCUUAUAAACAGGAAAGUGAUAUGAAGCAACUUGAGAGAGAUUAAAGAAUGUCUGGAAAACAACAGUACAAGUUCCAACUUGGAAAAAUGCAAACUUGAGAAGAACAACUUGAAACUCAAAUAUGCAGCAGGAAUAAAUUGUGUUGAGGAGAUCUAGGAAUGAUAGCAGCUAGCUGAUUGGAAAUGGUAUUUCUUAAGCUGCAGAAGUGGGCAAUGUGUGGGAAGGCACCCUCUUACAUAUGGGAAGGCAGAGCAUGUGGAAUAUUGCUCUGAGUCCCGUGUAUUGCACUUCUAGUCAGAGGCAUGCUGGAGGGCAUUCAAGAACAGCAACCAAAAAAACAGGAGAGACAUUGUCUCUGAAUAUGCCAUUCCUAAAUUUUUCUUCAUGAAGUAGUCAGAAGAUGACAAAGAGGGACUGUCACCAGUGUUAGAAAAAAUUAAAUUAUAACCAUAUUUACUUAAGAAUGUAUGCAGGGGGAUAAUCAGGAGUACUGGGAGUGUUCCUGUAAAAGCAACAUUGAACUGAAUCUCAGAAAUGUCCUCGAUGGAGAGAUGUGCAAUGCCUUGCAAGGAAGUGAUGGAAACUUCAUUCCUUGGGGACAUCUAACACUUGACCACACAAAGCACUAGGAAGUCUAUUAGGGGAAAUGACUGCAUUGGAUGGUGGGGGAAGUUUGAUACAAAAGAUCACUUUCAAUUUAUCUGAAUAUAUGAUAUAAAUGGGAAAAUAUGUACCAGGAUGUUUGUGAUUUCCACAUUCAACAGGCUUAAGCUGCUUUUCAUUUAUAGUAAUGAGAGACCAAUUUAUUCCCAAAAGGUUCCUCUUUUUCCCACUCUACCAACUGUACCUUUCCUAAUUUGUGCUGUGAAGCAAUAACCUUAGAGCACAGAGGACUGGUGGGCUUUUUCUCAGAAUAAGCAAUGAAUAAGCAAUAGUUUUAUCAGAAAAUCUCAUUUUCUGGAUGGGUGAUGCCAAAACAUAGGGCAGAAGGUGGUUAUGUUGACUUACUGGGUAUCACCUCAGUAUGAUGUUCCUUCACUGCAAAGCAUCUUGGUGUUCUCCAUGGAGUCACCUGGCUUUUAUCAGCUCCCACAUGGGUCAAGAGCCACUUGUGUUUGCCAUUAUAAUUGGCCACCAGGAUGAGUUGCCCGGGUUGUUUGAUUGGAAUGCUUAAAAGCCAUGCUAUGCCUACAAAAAGACAAACAGAAAGUUAUACAGGCAACAAAAAAGAGUUCACAGCCACGAUUUUUGGCAAAGCACACCCCUCCCAUCUGUGGAGGCGCCUCCCCAUCCCACCGGGCUCACAGCAAAUGUCACAUCCCUGUUGGCUCUGAGGGCUUUCAGUGUUGCUGAGGCAUUGGGAGAGCAGGUGGGCAAGCCGUAGCUUCAGAGCAAUAGGAGCUAACCAGGGAGAGGGGAAAAAGAUGGAAAUGUGCAUCUGGCUGUACUGCAAACCCAGCCUCCAGCAGCUGCUCCAGAGGUGCCCCUCUGCUGCAGCACUGGGUCAGCCCUGUGCUCAUUAGCCUUGACAGCUGCCCUUCUAUAAUCUAAAGCUGUGCUUGGGAGAUAAGGGCUUUGUGUACUGCUUACAAACAGCGAGGCUGGAGUGAAAAUUCACAGGGCUGGAAGGCAGGGAGUCUCUUUUCAGCUACAUUGAGAAAGCCAUAGAAAGGGUGAGGGCUCCUUCUCUCUGCAGAUUCAAAGCAGCUUCUCCUCCAGUCUCUCACAGGGCACUUGUUUGUGCUUCGUGUUCUGCCCCCGCCUACACAAAUCUUGCACUGAAAGGUUUUUCUUGCUCUGUUCUGGAGUCACUUUGGAUGCAUUGAACUCUCCCAAGUGCUUUGUACUUCUGACAAAGCAAGGUGCUUGUAUAACAUUGCUGAGGGGGAGAGAAAAUAGCAGGAUUGGAGGAAAAACACUUACCUUGAGAAACUUUUAAGAAUCUAGUUUUAUUUUGUGUCUCAGAUCAAAGGCUGAUUUACUCUUGAAAUGUCCACAGUUCCUUGGUAUUUGUCUUCUUGCGCCUCUUCGACUCUUAACUGGUUUGGAAAAUUCCCAUGUUUAUUCACUGUGAGUCCUGAGAGCCCUCCCACCACCAUUCUUGCCCUGCAUAUUAUCAGAUCUCAGGGAAAAGCUGGACCUAGCAAGUUCUUUCUCAUUAAAAGAAAAAGGAAAAUCUAACACUUCUAUGUGGGUGAAAUGAAUAGAGCUGCAGUGAUUCACAGUAAAGGACAGGUAAGAGUUUGGUAAGAGAAUAUUGUCUAAUAUAGGUAUGGGAUUUGUCUAACGUAGUUUAAUAGGUAUGGGUAAAAGAAUAUUGUCUAAUAGCCUUGGAAGUCAUCUAAAGAUAUAGCAGUAAGAAUGGAGACAUCAGCUACAGAAGGGUGCACAGCCUUUGAGCUGCCUACUCUCCUGUCUGCCAGCUUUUGUGUUCUCUCACACUAAUAUUCCUUUUCACUCACCCACCUGCCUUGUGGUUUUCAGUGGGCUUCUCGAGGCAAACGAGGUCAAA